GGGCCCACGGGGGGCCCCUGCAGCCCACCGGGCGGGGCGGCCCGGGGGCCCCCGGGGUACCCCCCUCCCGCUCUCGCCCCACCCCUCUCGGGGGUCCGGAGUGCUCCCCACCCCGAGGGGGCUCCGCGUGCGACGGCCACUCGCCCGGCCCCGGCGGCUCCGCCGGGACCACCCCCACCCCUCUUCCACGCCGGUCGCAGGGCUGGACCCGAGCCCACGCUGCAGCCCACCCUGGUUGCGGGAAGGGGGGGGGGUCCCCCGCGGACGCGGCGGUGAUGAGGGCUGGGCGCCCUCCUAGCUCCCAGUUCCUUCUCUCUUCAGAUUGGGUUGGUUGGAGGGGGGGGGGGUGUCACUAAGUCAGGAGCCCCCACGGCCCCUGCGUAGUGCCAACCUCAUGCCCCCAUCUUUCCACCCAGGAACCUCAAAGAAGACCGCAGCAUGGGCGGCUCUCGAGACCCCCCUAGCUGCCCGGCAGCUGCUGCAAACGGGAAAUUUGGCACUCCAUUUUCUGGGAUGGCAGCGCUGUCUCGCUCCAAUCCCCCCGGCUUGCUCAGCCCCUUCUCUCCACGCCCCUGCACCAAACCCCUAGGUUGGGGGGGGGCGGGGAGGGAAGUGUGUGGGAGCGGGAGGCACCCCUUCUCAGCCCGGGGAGCGCAGGAGAACCUGGCGCCUGGCAGCCUCCGCCAUCAGUGCCACGCUUCUGCAUGGUAGAGAGUUUGAAGACUCCAUUUUCCCAUCGCGGAGUCCCCAGCGCCUGGGAGUGGGAUGGGGGUGCCCACGCCCCCCCCACAGCUAGUUGGGUUUCCUCCAGACUGCUCAACCCUCUGAGAGCACACGGCCACCGGCUCUGGCACCCUCCUUUCCCCUUGCACCGACCCUAGAGGGAGUCCCCACGUUGCCGUCCACCUAGACUUCUGAGAGUGAUUGGAAGGGCCAGCGGGAGAUGAGGAAACUGAGGCUGGGACAAGGGAGUGACUGGUGCGGGGUCAUUCAGACCCUGCACGGAGGACUUGAAGAAGGUGCCUACAAAGUCCCGUGGGUCACCAGUGUGCGCAUGGCAGAAGUAGGAAAGCGGGGUCUCGGAGAACCGGACCAUCCCCUCUCUCCUCUCCUUGGGGACCCAAACUGUACUCCUUCUGGGAGCCAUCCAUCCGUCCACCCUCGUACCGCUCCGGGAUUUUUUAGGGCUGGCAGCUCAGGCGGCUGAGGAUGUAACCAAAGCUUGAGCGUGAAUGGAGUAGCCAUGGAAAUAGAACUACCAAGAGUCUUAAGACGUGGAAGAAUGAUCCUCUCAUCCGCUCGCGGUUGCGGGAGAGAAGAGGCUGCAAAGACACCCAGGCGUGAAGAGGGGGCGUUAAUUGCCGGGUCUAAAGGGCAGAUGUGGUUAACCCGCAGCCUCUCAUUCUGGAGGCUGCCCCACAGGGGCCUCCAGAGGGCCGAGCCAGUCCUGGGCAAAGCCAGGGCCUUGGGGUCUCCACCGGAACCCGACCAGGUCCCGUCCCGCAUCGAGCUGACCCCUCCUGCCCCGUCUGCUGGGAGGACCAACCCCAAAGUGGGGGCCACGGGCAGAAGGGCUGUUCCCUCGUGGUCGUGGAUGCUUCACCAGCUAAAGUGCGGGGCCCGAGCGUCUUUGCCAUUCACCUGUAAGAGGAGGGAGUGGUGUCCUGGAGUCUUCCCAAGGCCCGUUCCAGCUUCGUCCUUGUGGUGACUCUGUGGCCCCAAGGGCUGCUCACUUCGUGGGCUUCAUCUCAGUUCACAGCUGGUGCCUCUGGUGUACGGGUGGUUCCACUAUGCCGCCUCUUCUCUGGGGGGACAGACGUCUUGGCCAGGCACUCUUUGUGUCCCGACAGCGCUGAUGGCAGUGGUGAGGCUCCGUGGUCUGGGGCCCAGGCUACCUGGAUCCGAGCUCCAGCCCCCCUACUCACUAGCUCUGUGAUCCCAGGCCAGGUACUUGACCUCUCAAAGCAUCCAUUACCUCCUGGGGGUGAUAAUAGUUUGUACUCCAUCCGGUUAUUGGGAGGAUUAAAAGAGACCAAUCAUCCAUCUAAAGGCUUUUCCAUAGAGCCUGGCUCAGUGAACAUUCUAUAACUGUGAGUUACUGUCAUUAUCAGGUCAUGGGGGCACCGGGCAGCGGUGUUUAUCCGGGGGCUGGGGUCACUUUGGGCAUCUCUUCUGAAUUCAAGCUGAUGAUGAAAAUUAUCAGAGAGAGAGAAAGAAAACAAAAUACCUCACAAGCUGUGACAAAAACGAUCCCGUUGGCAGCUGAGAGAUGAGUUGAGACAAAGAACCGAGUCCAGUAACUACAGACUGGUUAUGGCAGCGAGAGAGGGAGGGACGCCUCCCCUGCCUCCCGCUCCCGUGAGCAGGUAGGGAAUCACGCAGGGAUACCUGCAGGGCAACAUGGAGCCCAUGGCCGUGGCCUGGAAUUCUGGACGUGUUCUCCGCCAGCCUGGUGGAGGCUUCUCACCCUAACUGGGGGCGAACUGGGGCUCAGAGACCUCAGGGAGGGCUCUUCUGCACCAAGGCUGACUUCUGGGCAGCUGCAUGGCUGGGACUAGAACCAUCUCGUGGCUGCCUUUGGCUCAGCGCAAGGUGGGGAAAGGCAAAAGGGCUCCUGAGGCUGGGCUUCCAAAGGUCCAGGGAGAGGGAGCCCGCCGGCUCCGCCCUGGGGAAGAGAGAAGUGAGAGGCCCUUGGCUGCCAAGUGUGCGAGGUGCUUCAGGAAGCAUUAUUUAUAGAUCUGACUGUUUGCCCACUCUUAUCUUGAGGAUGGGAAUUCGGGACACUCGGUCACAGGUUGGUUUCUGCCCUUGUCAGCAGUCAUUCAAAAUGGCAAAUCCCCACACCCGCCGCACGAGGCAUGGACGAGACAAAGAGACAGCUUAUCUGCAGGAGACCCAGCUGGUCCAGAUUCGGAGGCACAGUUCUCUCCAGCCAGCUGGGGAGGCGGCUGGAGCAGACCAGGAGAUCGCCUCUUAUGUUUUAAAUGUCAAUAUGGUCCCUACUUGCUGACUUGCCAAGAUUUGAUCAGCUAAAUUGGCCCGCGCAGUGUGUUCCCCUGCAAUGCACGGGGUGCAUUUAGAUCUUUCGACAACGUCACAGGGGAAGCUACGAAGCGGCCGACAGACAGCCGUAAACACGUUUCAGUGGCUGUGGUUAGGCAGCCUUUCUUCAACACCUUCUGAGCUGCGUCCUGCCUCUUUGGGACUUGAAUUUCAAUACAGUUAGUUGUCUCCUUGGGCCCCAAUUAGGUUGGGGAAGGGACCAGCUCCAUUUGGGAUGCCAGGGUCAUCUCUGAUGAGCUUUUCAGCGUGCUGUGAUCCCAAGUAAGGCCGGCUUUUGAGUUCAGGCCUCAUUGGGGUCUUCCCAGUGUUUUGAGUGUCAUAUGUGCUAGGGAAGAAACCAGAUUAUGAGCUAAACUCACCUAAACUAUGAGAGGUUUUUCACUCACUCACUCACUCACUCACUUUCCACUCAAAACUUGGCGGACAGGGUCACAUUUCUUGCCUGUUUUCUGUUGACCUUGCAUCUCUCCCAUUUCUGGGAGGCGAGGGAGAAAACAGAGAGGUGUGGUUCUUUUCUAGAAUGUUCUGUGACCGGGAUAGGAAUAUCCGGGUCAGCAUGAGGAGGGCCAUCUGGGGGGCCUAGGGAUGCUUUACUUCUGGAAUAUCUUCACAAGACGGAUGACUAAGGAUUUCUGGGGCCCAUGCAGUCUUGGAGCUGGUCCCCUGCUUGGCCCAUCAGCCUGCCCAAGUUCACAGAACUCCUGAGUUGUCAGAUCUGCAGGUAGAGGCUGGGGGACCUCAGCUGUAGCUCGGAGCCCUGCUCAGAACACUGAAUAAAGCCAAAUCUUUCUGUC